CGUCUGUUUCUAUGCCACGGGAGGAGUAGUCGUUUUUGAUGAAAUGCUCUGCAAAUGUGGAAAGUAUGCUGUCACUUUUCAGUGAUUAUAAAUGCUCGGAGUAUCAAAUUCGGAAAUUUCUGCAUAUUUGUCCAAUGUAUCUGAGUAUCUUAUUGAGAAAUUUCUGCAUGUGUGCCCAAUGUAUACUGAAUUACAGUAUUUGCAGAAAUGAAAUGGAGCAAAGAGGCAUUGAGCAUCUUAAAUCUGGCACACAGCAAGGAAAACUAUAUGUAUGACCCGCUGUAUCAGAAUAAGCAUGCCUUCAAGAGAAAUUGGUAGUGACAGGGGAGAAUGUCUGUUCAAUUUGGUCCAGUGCGACAGACGAGAACUUCAAAACUCUGAGUAGCACAUAUACAUAGUACAAACUUGGGGAAAAUAACAUAAGUGC